AAAUUGAAGAGUUUGAUCAUGGCUCAGAUUGAACGCUGGCGGCAGGCCUAACACAUGCAAGUCGAACGGUAACAGGAAGCAGCUUGCUGCUUCGCUGACGAGUGGCGGACGGGUGAGUAAUGUCUGGGAAACUGCCUGAUGGAGGGGGAUAACUACUGGAAACGGUGGCUAAUACCGCAUAACGUCGCAAGACCAAAGAGGGGGACCUUCGGGCCUCUUGCCAUCAGAUGUGCCCAGAUGGGAUUAGCUAGUUGGUGAGGUAACGGCUCACCAAGGCGACGAUCCCUAGCUGGUCUGAGAGGAUGACCAGCC
rnacentral:rRNA from 1 species